AUGAAAAAAAAUAAUAGUAACAAACAAAAGUUAACAGUAUCAUCACAAAUCAAGCUUAAAUUCAAGAACACAGCUAAAAAAAGCAACAAGAAAUACAAAUUCCUCGCAUCAAUAAUUAAAGGACAGAUAGCAACACAAUAUCAAGAUGCGGUUAUUUCCGGUGCGUUUAUCGAAUAUUACGAGAAUGCUCGAUAUGUACUCACAGUUCAAUCCAUCACCUUUAUCCAUAAAACAAUUUAUGGACUUCGGUCAAAAUGCCUGCGAGAAGAAAUCCUUUAUAUUCCUGCGUAAAGAACUGCCCGUACGUUUGGCGAAUAUCAUGAAGGAGAUUGCAUUGCUGCCCGACCAUUUGCUGAACACGCGAUCCGUGAGUCAGGUGAGCUCGUGGUACGUACAAAGCUUCGAGGAUGUGCUGAAAUUCGAAAAGGCCGAACCGACGCAUAGCAACUUAGAAAAGUUUUGCAACACUUUGGUGCACAUACGCAACCGACACAGUGAUGUGGUGCAAACAAUGGCUCAGGGUGUCAUCGAGAUGAAGGAGCAUCAGGGUGGCCCCGUUGAUUGUGGCAUGGAAUCGUCGAUACAAUACUUCCUCGAUCGACUGUACAUGUCACGCAUCAGCAUACGAAUGCUCAUCAAUCAGCACACUAUACUCUUCGGUCAGUUCCCCAAUGAGCAGGGUCGCCAUAUUGGCUGCUUGGAUCCGGCCUGUCAGAUCUCGUCUGUGGUGAGAGACGCUUAUGAAAAUGCACGCUUUCUAUGCGAUCAAUACUACCUGAUCAGUCCAGAACUGGAAAUCACUGAGCACAAUCCACAUGACAAAGCAAAUAAUCCCAUACGUACUGUAUAUGUACCCUCGCAUUUAUAUCACAUGCUCUUCGAGCUGUUCAAGAAUUCCAUGCGUGCUGUUGUGGAAAACAACGAUCAGGAUAAAUGUGAAAAGCUGCCGCCGAUUAAGGUGCUCAUAGCGGAGGGCAAGGAGGACAUAUGCGUGAAGAUCUCCGACCAAGGUGGCGGCAUUCCACGUUCCCAAAGCGACCAGCUGUUCAAAUAUAUGUACAGCACAGCACCACAGCCAUCAAAAUCCGAUCUGCAUACAGUGCCAUUGGCUGGUUACGGUUAUGGCCUGCCCAUUUCACGUCUAUAUGCGCGCUACUUCCAUGGAGAUAUUGUGUUGCUAUCAUGUGAGGGAUAUGGCACCGAUGCCAUUAUUUAUAUGAAGGCACUUUCAGAUGAAGCUAAUGAGCUGUUGCCCAUCUUCAAUAAAACGAGCUCGAAAUUUUAUCGCGCCACCGUGCCCACUGGCGAUUGGUCUAAUCAGAAUUUUUCCAACCGUUGGCGUUAUAUAUAUAGUCUCUUCACGUCCAAAAACAAUUAGCGUAUGUUUUAUUCUAAAAUGCUUGACUCAUUUCAGUUGGUUUUUAUUUAUGACGAAAGAGCUCUGACAUGAACGCUAGGCAGUUGAAUGCUUCGGCUCCGAAGCGCUACAAUAACAUGUUAUAGGCCGAGCCUAUGAGUAACUCGGGAGAUCAGCAAGUAAAUCCAACGGCGGCAGAUACGGAACCAGCGAAUGUUUUGGUACCACAAACUCAGGAGCAAUUGCUGAACGAUAAGAAAUGAAUAGCAAUGGUGAAGGAUGAAAGGGUUGUAGUACAAAAAAAAAUUAUAAAAUAUUAUAAAAUUAAUAUGCGGGUUAAUGAAUUGACGUAACCCAAUCAGCAAAGCCCUUCAACUUAUCAAGAGGACGGGUAUAUAAAUUAAUCACUGUGCUAUUCAGGAAAAUAUUGCAAAUAUUUUUUAAACUAAAAACCAAAUUUUGCAACAAGUAGUAACUCAAAACGUUGAGAGAGAGAAAUCGAUAAAAUAUGGAAAUUUUGCAAUAAGUAGUAACUUGAUCCAAUUGAGAUUAUGCAACAAGUAGAAAGCAAUUAUGCUUUAAAGACACAAGUGUGAAGUAAAAACAUUUAAUUAAAGAAAACUUCAGUAAAAAUGUCAUGCACAAGUUGGCAAAGGUUUAUAGGUUCGUAAUUUAGAAUUAUGUCAUGGCACUGAAUGAGAUUCGCUGACGUUCGACGAAAAGUGCAUUUGGAAAGGUUUUGUAGAGUUUGCUCAAAUCGUGUUGGAAUUUGUUUUUGUGCGUAAAUAGUCAGUCACGGCGAAGAUUUGCACUCAUACAUAAAUACACAUAUGCAUAUGUAACAUUGUAGGAUUAUGUAAGUGAAAACAUUUUAAAAUGCAUUAACUGUUAGCAAAAACAUUCCCCGCAAAUACCCAUAAACAUUUAUUUACUUAGCGCUUUAAUCACACAGCCAUUUGCACUUUUAUUCGUAUUUAUUAUUGUGUAAGCGAAAUGACGAAGUUAGUAAUUUAGGCUAAGAAGUUAAGUUUAACACUUUUAAGUGAGCAUUUGUUUGAACGUAAUAAAUUAUAAAUUAAGUUUUAUAAAAAUGUAUAAAGAUUUAUAAGAGUUAUGUUAGUAAAAAUGUUAAUGAUGGAUACAGAGCGCGAAAGCAAUAAAAUAUUUUGAUAUGGAAUAAGUGUAAAUUUUUCUCGAUCUGUUGAAAAAUCAGCUUUUACUAAGAAGAACCCAUAGCAUAUGACAAAUCGAGGGAUAUACAGUGUUGCCAAAGGCCAGUAGUGUGUAUCGGGUGAAUAACAAGUUCUUCUCCUAUUUUCUAUAAGGCUAUAAGCGCGAGUAUAGUAUAGACAACAGUGUAGUGAAAUCUGCAUUUUUGUACUAAGUUAACUUCGUUUUAAAUCAGGCCCAUUUUAUAUUUUACGUCUUUCCGAACGUUUCUAAUUGAAUAAUUUAUCAAAAUUGAUCAACAAAAAAGUCUUUGUUCCUUUAAUAAUUUAUAAACAUGUAUUUUCAAAAUAAUAUUUAUUACAUUAUGUAAUUAACGUCGUUGUGACCUAUUUUUGAAAAUUUACAAUAUCUUUUGUCAUAUUGAUAUCAAUAAGCCCAUAUUUAUAAUUGCGCCUAAACGGUUUAUUUUUAUAAUUUUCAUUUAUUUUUCAUUUAUUUUACGGAUUCCUGCACAAAUUUGAUCUGUGUUACACACUUCCUUUAACCCAGUGUUCCUUAAAAUUGCUCUUGAAUUGGCAAUAGAAAUCAAAUUUCAUACAAAUUUCCUUCCAUAAAUCGAACUUAUCGACCAGGGCACAAAAUUAAAAAAUGUACUAUCGAGACAGAAUUUUAAAAGAGUCCCUAUAUCGUAUGCAGGCUAACCAAAAAUAUGAUAUUACACUUAUGGAUUGCAUAAAUCAUGUAACAAAGGGAAGUUGAACUGUAUUUAUUUAUAGAGAUGAAAAUCAAUCCAAGUGAGUCAACUGAUACUAAAGAGUGACAAGAUCAAAAUGACAUAUUUUAAAAAUGGAUUAAUUCUCAAUUAGUUUAAUUCUCAUAUGUACUUAUUAAUUUAUUACCAACUUAUGGCUAGGUUUUAAACACUUAAAUUACUUUCACAUAAUAGAAAUACAAAAACAUAACGUAUAUGAUCCAGAAAUGAAAUUAUGGAGUAAAAGAAGAAGAAGAGAUAGAGCUACUGCAAUAGAUAUUCCACGAAUGGAAUCCGGAUUAACAUAUCAUAUAACCGUCGUUUCUCGUAUUAACUAAAUUAAAUUAUUUUAAAAUGUAAUACUUCACCUUAAACAUAAAAAUAUACUAAUUCACAUUAAUUUCAAUAAUCAAGAUCGCAUUAUAUAACAAUACUUCCAUUUGCCUACUUCCAGUGAUAGACAUCAAUAGAAAGAUUUGAAAUUUAUUCAUCAUAUUUGCAGGAAAAUGUCGACAAUACUAUAAUUUUAAUAUAUUUAUUUUUAACAAACAUGGGAAAUAAAGAAACUCCGAUAACUAAGGCCUAGGAUUAUUAACAAAGGACUGUCUUUAAUAGUUUGAGAAACAGCCUUACAACCUAACCUAACGUAAGGAAUAGGAAACAUUUUUAUCUCGUUUCAUUUCUAAAUCGAGAGCAGUUCAAUUCUUCGAUUAUUUGAGCAUGUUAAAUAAUCGUUUUUAUACUCUCGCAACAAAAGUUGCUAAAGAGAGUAUUAUAGUUUUGUUCACAUAACGGUUGUUUGUAACACCCAAAACUAAACGAGUUAGAUAUAGGGUUAUAUAUGCCAAAGUGAUCAGGGUGAAGAGUGGAGUUCAAAUCCGAAUGUCUGUCCGUCCGUCCGCCUGUGCAAGCUGUAACUUGAGUAAAAAUUAAGAUAUCUUGAUGAAACUUGGCACACUUAUUUCUCGCUUCACAACCACGCCUACUUCCUAUAUACCAGAACUUUGAAGACGAUCUGAAUCGUUUACUUUACAAUAUUUAAAGUAAGCACUAAUUUAAAGAUAUCAGUGCAGAACUUUGCACAAAUACUAUGUUUAUAGUGUGGCAGACCCAUUCUAAAAAUCGCCGAAAUCGGUCCAUAGAUUUUUAAGGCCCCAUAUAUCGAACACGAGGACCUUGGUGGUUCUAACCUAAUAUUAUGGUUUCCAUCUUUCAAUGGACUUUAUACAAUAUAUAUGACGAAUAUGUGGGUCAAAUUAUGUAUUAUAUAUAUAAUUAUAUAUAUAGUCAAUUGAAAAAAUUCUAAUGUUCAAGAUCCCAGAACCACUCUAUGAAUAGUGUACGGAAUAAGCGAAAACCUUUGAUUCGUUUAAUUUAUGAUGUGUGGGUAGUUAUCUUAGUUCCAAGCGAUUUCGAGAAAAAAAUAAAGAACCGCAAAGUCUCUUAAAUAUGCAUUUUAUUAAUUUCCUUUAAGUCUGUACGCUUAAGAAUUUUUACAUUUAUAUUAAUUGUAGUGUUGUUGUAAUUGUUUUAACUAGUAAAAAUAUGCUCUAAACUUAAAGAGUUUGUUAUUGCAUUAUUACAUAGAAUAUUAUUAAAUUUAUUACAGAUAAUCUAUGUUUUAAUACUUACAUACCAUAAAGAAGUACAACCGAUUUGCUUGUCACACUAAACAGUUUUUUACAGUUUUUUAUUGUUGUAGUAGAAAAAAAAAUAAAAGCAAAAUACAAAAAUAUUAAUAAAAACAACCCAGCUGAAAACUAAACCAAAAUCAAUAAAAUACAUGAAAAUGCAUUUUCCACAAUUUAUUGUUUUUUUUUUUAUUUCUUUAUUUAUAUACUUCGCUAGUAAAUAACGUACAACGUACAAAAUAAUAAUAGUAAUAAUAAUAAUAAUAAUAAUCACCAGCUACAUCAUCAUCUUUAUAAUAAACAUAAUCUUUAUCAAUCAUCGUUCUCAACUAAACAUCCUCGAUUUCAUACUCAUUAUAUAACAAUGCAUUUUAUAUAAACAUUAUUUAUUGUAGACGUGUGUGUGGGUGUGUGUGUGUGCGUGUGCACAUAUGACGUUUAUAUAUGUACGAAUGUAUUAAUAAAUUUAUUUUAAAUUAUUUUACAUAAACUUUUAAAAUAUUCGUAAUCAUAGUGAUCAUUACUAGCAUAAACACAUUUAUAACUGUUACUUUUACAGAGUGCGCAUGUGUGAGUGUUUUGGUUGAGGAGGCAUAUGUAUGCAUAUACCUACCAAAUAUUAAUACAUAUACGAGUAUAAGGGGGCGGGAGAGGAUUGUCUAUUGCUAUCACUUUUCACAAUUUUUCUUUCUUUAACAUUAUUAUCUA